GACGAACCGUGCUAACGUUGUUCGGAUUCACUGGGCUUAAAGGGCGCGUAGGCGGCUUGCCAAGUCAGGGGUGAAAUCUUUCGGCUCAACCGGAAAACAGCUUCUGAUACUGGUAGGCUGGAGGGAGGUAGGGGCGGAUGGAACUUCCGGUGGAGCGGUGAAAUGCGUAGAUAUCGGAAGGAACGCCGGUGGCGAAAGCGAUCCGCUGGACCUCUUCUGACGCUGAGGCGCGAAAGCCAGGGGAGCAAACGGG
rnacentral:rRNA from 1 species